UGGGAGCAGCGAACUCUGUGCGGCAAGGCUCAGUCUCAAUCACGUGGCUUGGUUUAGCCAAUUACAUCGGAGCUUACAUCUAGUUUAACUUCGUGGGUGAGAACUGGAAGGACUUCACAAGUGUUAUCUCCAUCUCUCUACUGUUUUAUCUCUAUCUGACGUGUGGCCCAUCCCACACAGGGAUGGCUACUCCUAACUCUGGAUUGUGGAGUGACGAAGCCACACAGGGCAGAACAGAGCUACAGUCAAGCAACAUAAUAGAAGCUUCCUGACGGAGCAGAAGCUAACGUGGGAGUUCUGCCUGGAACUACAGUGCUACACAAAGGUGUGCACAAUGCAGACAAUGUACUACUUCCUGCCGGUGCAGAGAGAGCUGUUUAUGAUCAUGCAUGAGGUAAUUUUAAUAUGACCUGUUAGGGUGUCAUUAGCCCAUUGUCCAGCUCAACUGCCUAUAGAAGGAAUGAGCAACCUUUCCAAAUGAUGGUCUGAAAUGGCCCUGUGGUGAUGGCGAAGAGACUGACAAACAACAGUGGAAACAAAAGGACACUUUCUCACAUCUCACUAAAGAAAAACUUUAUUGAAAACAGGAGACCGUGGAAGAAGAACCGCAACAAAAUAGAAAAGCGAGCAACUGAAAUGAUCAGGCUCUGAGCAUGCGUGGCUUUGCCCAGAAGCAGGAGCAGUAGACUGAGCACCAGCAGGGUGCAGCCACCAGACCCACAAAAGCUACAGGGGAGAGAGAGAAACUCUCUGCAGCAUUCCCCAGGAGGACGAUGGUUGCAAAACUACAAUUUGCUUGCUCACAAAGAAGGAGAAGUGCGCAAAUGCCUACUUAGAAAGAGCAAGAACAACAACAACAACAACAAAAAAUAUUCCUUAAAAAAAAAGAGAAUCUUCCAGAUAAAAAUGCCAAUGAAAUUAUCAAGGAUCAG